rnacentral:rRNA from 1 species
GACGAACGCUGGCGGCGUGCUUAACACAUGCAAGUCGAACGGAAAGGCCCUGCUUUUGUGGGGUGCUCGAGUGGCGAACGGGUGAGUAACACGUGAGUAACCUGCCCUUGACUUUGGGAUAACUUCAGGAAACUGGGGCUAAUACCGGAUAGGAGCUCCUGCUGCAUGGUGGGGGUUGGAAAGUUUCGGCGGUUGGGGAUGGACUCGCGGCUUAUCAGCUUGUUGGUGGGGUAGUGGCUUACCAAGGCUUUGACGGGUAGCCGGCCUGAGAGGGUGAUCGGCGACAUUGGGACUGAGAUACGGCCCAGACUCCUACGGGAGGCAGCAGUGGGGAAUAUUGCGCAAUGGGCGGAAGCCUGAUGCAGCAACGCCGCGUGCGGGAUGACGGCCUUCGGGUUGUAAACCGCUUUCGCCUGUGACGAAGCGUGAGUGACGGUAAUGGGUAAAGAAGCACCGGCUAACUACGUG